GGAUGCUGUAGGAAACCCUCAGAAAAAGGUCAAGAUCAUUGCAGUACUGCAAGGCCUGCUGAGAAACCAUGUGCACAAGAACCCAUGCCCAGAUUCACCACUUGAUUUCUGCAGGAGCUAGGCAGUGGACAUGUAAAGAGUGUUCUGAUUAAAGCCGUAAAUGCGAAGGACCUGGCUACACUCCUUGAGCCCAGACUUGUUGAAAUCUGCCCUCAAGACUUCUAGGCACUGUCUAAGGCUCCAACCAUCCCAUCUUAAACUGGUAAGUGGUCAGGAGUUUGGUGUGGGCAGUCCUGAGGUAUGGCAUGUACUUGCCCCUGAAACCCAUCUCUGUCAAUGUCUCCCCAUCCUUCAAAAAUACCCUUACCCUUUUAAUUGCAAAGGCCUGCAUGAGUGUAUUCACUUGUUGGCCCUAGAGGGGUUGCCUUUCCUUACUCCCUACCCGCUGCUCUUUCUUUACCCUUUUGCUCAGAUCCCUUUGGCUGGGUUUGUUAAAGCUUUAAGAGGGUGGCUUUUCAUUUUAACUGGUUGGAAAUUAUUCCAUCACGGAGCAUCCCAAGCACUUCAUCAGGUUGAUGCUUAUGAAGAGCUGGGACCAGUUCCCCAUCUGGUGUAGAAGAGCACUGAGCUGUGCGGAUUUACACCAGCUGAGGAUCUGGCUUAUUAUCCUUCUAAACAUUAAGGCCUCAAUUAAGGUUAUUCAGCAAAGCAGGAGCUUAGUGAUGGACUCCAGUAAAAUGUUUCAGUACAUGCUUAAUUGGGGCCUAUAUUUAGCAGCAUUCUUGGGGUUAAUUAGGCCCUUGUAUGCUAUUGCUGGCUCUGAUUAUUCUCCUUCCUCUCCCCACCUCCCCAGGUAAGAAAACCCAUGCAGGGGGCGAGGGAGGCCGUCUCUUGAGGAGAAGAAUCUGGCCUGUGCUGUAUGGUGUGGGAGGAGGCAAGGUGGUGGUGGUGUGUGUGUGUGUGUCUCUCCUUCAAAAACUGCCUAGAGGAUACAAUGUGCUGAAUUUGCCAUUUUUUAAUAUUCCCUGUUUAUCCCUUCAGUAUCCGCAUGUGUGCAAUCUUCAUCUGUAUUUUACACUGUUGUGCCUUUAUUACAAUAGCGAUACAUUUCAGAUCCCUGAACUCAGAGCUGCUUGCUACACCCUGAUGACGCCUCAGGAAUUUCAGUCUCUAGAGGCCAUGUUAUAUCUUCCUCCUGAAAAAAAUCCACCAACUUUGUGGCUUCCGUUGAUUACGUUUUGCCUAGAGUUCCCCAUAGGGGAAAAAUUUAUAUUCUACUGGCACAUGCAACUUAAAAAGCCAUUUAGCUAAAUGGAAGGAUCUCUAAUGCAGAUUUGUUGGACUGGCGCUUCCUCUGGGAUAUCCUAUCGCAUAUACAAAAUGUAACCAGAUAUAACUAGACAAAUUCAAUCACGCAACAGAAACUGGAUUGCUUGCUUAAAAUUGCAGCACUAGUCUAGCCAACAGAGGUCAGUGCAAACUAAAUAAAAGGUCUUUCAAUGCCGCUUUCUCCUAUAUAACCGGUCACGGCCCUGGAGAGAGAUUGAAUGAACUAACCGGGUAGUGGCUGUUCAAACUUCCUUGCUCCUUUCCCCUACGAGGUGUUUCAUCCCUGAUCAAAAGAGAGCACCUCAGAGUGAGAUGGAAAUUAACUCUUUCUUUGGCCUCUUUGCUGAGCGUUAUUGGCCUUCCCACCACUUGGCAAAUAUCCAUCAUCAGCACCAGCUCAGCAAUGCUCCACUCCAUUCCUGUGCUACAGAACCACUCAGCAGGGGAAAUGGCUUCUUCCUGAAACAUUCGCUUUGGCUUGGUUACACGGGGAAUGGCUAGUGAUCGCUUUGUCCUUGUGAGAUGCAUUACUCGCGGAUAGGAGCAGGAGGUCACUAGAUCUUCCAUACAAUCCCUCCACCCUCAUCUUUCCACCACUCUCCUAAUAGCACAGCUGAACAUACCUGCUCUCUGUACUGCAUUCCUCAAAUCGGAGACAUCCAGGAAUCCAGAACCGGUUCCCUCUACCCUCCUGAAAAUGUCCUGGAAACCAUUUUGAAAGAGUUCAGCUUCUUAUUUUUAAGCCAACGUCAGUGGACCAAACUUGUGCUAUGACCUAGCAUGUUGACCACUUGCCAAUGCAUUUCACUUUCUCCUUAAUGAAUUAGCUUAGUGGAAACUCAGUGCAACGUCGGAUAGGGGGACUAGAAUAAGAAAGACAACUUUCCAGAAAGAAGAGCUGGGUGAUCCUUGCUCCUGGACUGAGGGGGCUUACUGAUGGGGGGGCAGUGAGGGAUUGAUGUUAAUGCUCCUUCAGAGCAUUGGCCUGGCUUAGUGCACUGAGACAAAGGGAGAAAGAAGACAGAGGGGAGCAGUGAUCACCUUGGAAUAUCCCCCUGCCAACGAAGGCAUUGAUGUGGAAGUGCAGGGUAAACAUGUCUGAAUGGUUAUAGAGUUGUGACCUUUCGUGUAUAUCCCCUGCACUGUUUUACUUAUUCAGACCAAAGCUUGUAUCUCCAUGACUCUGCCAACAGAAAGAGCCCAUCAUCUGAAAGAAGAGUUGCAGAACUCAUUUCUAUGGCACUAGGUGGGAUGACAUCCUUCGGUACACUCCAUAUUCUAAAUACAAUAGGCUAUGUACUCAGCUCCAUUGACUUUAAUAGGGCUAUGCCCAUUUAUCCAACAGAUGAGGAUCUGGUCCAGUAUGUUUAGCUUGGCAAAAACCAUCCUGUGAGAUACUAACCACCACCAAAUGGUGGUAGGAUGUAAAUGGCAAGAAUGGAGAACAGUUGUUCAGGAUAGCCCAAACAGAUCUAAUAGGUGAAACCAAGGAACAUUGACUGUGCCAGAAUAUUUUUCCUAAUUCUGGGGUCCCUUUCUCUGUCCUAGAGUCUCUUAAAGGAAGUGGGGGAGGGGGAGAAGGAGCCCUGUUACAGUAUUUGCAUUAUUUAGAGAAGAUAAUGGAAAACCAAAGUCUGUAUUGGCCAGGGAGCAUGGCCUUUCCAUUGAUUGUAUUAUCUGGUGCAAUGUGACUGGCUGCCAUGAAAUAGGGCAAUAGCCUUUCACAGAAACAUGUGGUGGAUAAUAGGACGACAAAUAGGUAAUCCAAUCUAAGUGCUUGUACUCUUCAGGAAUACUCACCAUCUUGCCACUGCAUAUGAGCAACCACCGUCCCAUUGACCUGUGGGAUUAUUCCUGGAUAUGUAAGUGCAGGACUGGGACCUAACACCUUCUCUAACCUAUUCCUCAGGAUCUGUCAUAAGAGCAGAGCACUUAGUCCUUGGCAGACCUGUUCUUACCAUUCAGAACAUUUGAUGGGGGCCUCUCAAUCCAAUAUUUGAGCUCCCUACUUUUGAAUGAUAAGUCAGGUGCUUUAUCGUCCGAGCCUUUGUUGUGGUCUUUCCCCUGCACUAUUUUAAUUUCAUAGUGUCUGCAUCCCCUUGAUUAAAAAUGCAGCACUAGCUAAGAAAAUGGGUUCCUGACAGCUCACGUGUACCUUGUACUGAGCAAGGAGUUUCCAGAGGUGCUUAAAUUCUUGCAGGGAGAGUCUUCCAUUAGAC